UGCAGAGACACUGAGAGGUGACUUUUUCCCUUUGUUUCAGUGUAUUUAUAUAUCCACAAUUCUACCAGCCCUCCUGGAGACUGUGAUGCACUGAGGACCAACAUUUGCCUUUUAGUCAAAGUGCAGCAUCAGUGGCAGCAACACAGCAAACCUGCAGACUGAGAGAGUUUCCACUGAGCUGCAGCAGAAAACAGCCGAGUCGACACAAAGAGAGACAGAAGAAGAAGACGAACUGCAGUGUCAGCUGAUGUUUCUUCUGCCUGAAGUUUCAAAUCUCAGAGCAGCAUAAUGAAGAUCUGCUGAGGCCUGUGGAGACAUCACCAUCAUCAUCAUCAUCAUCAUCAUCAUCAUCACAGGUAAGGAGCAGCAGCAGUGUGACGAACAGCUGACCCAGGACCAGGAUGAUGAUGAAGCCCAUGAACUGAAGAGGACAAGUCACAGAGUGAAUGAUUAAAAUUCAUCUUUACGUUGCUUCACAUCCAGGUCGGAACACCUUCUCACCACAAACCAACCGCACGAGAGUUCCUU